UACGGAGGGAGCUAGCGUUAUUCGGAAUUACUGGGCGUAAAGCGCACGUAGGCGGCUUUGUAAGUUAGAGGUGAAAGCCUGGAGCUCAACUCCAGAAUUGCCUUUAAGACUGCAUCGCUUGAAUCCAGGAGAGGUGAGUGGAAUUCCGAGUGUAGAGGUGAAAUUCGUAGAUAUUCGGAAGAACACCAGUGGCGAAGGCGGCUCACUGGACUGGGUAUUGACGCUGAGGUGCGAAAGCGUGGGGAGCAAACAGG
rnacentral:rRNA from 1 species